rnacentral:lncRNA from 1 species
CGUCUCCCCUGCCCCUGACAAUCGGGCCUUGUAUCAGAACUACCAAGUGGGAGGGACAAAGGACAAACAUGAGGCUGCCUCCUUCUUGGCUGGCAGCUUCUCUGGGGCAGAGAGAAGAAUGACAAAGAGCAGGCAGCUGGCCAGCACGGGAGAGCGGCCAGACAGCCCCCGCUGCACAGACCUGUGCCCUGGCCCCUCAGGUCCUGCUCCCGCCUUGCCUGUGAUGGGACCACUUGCAAAUCUCUGCAGUGACAGGAGAGAGCCUGGGGGGGAGGGGCAAGAAGGAAGACACAAAGUGCCGCCCCUUGCCUUUUUAAAAAAGUAAUUCCUAAUUACAUGUCAUGCUAAGUAUGUUUUCCUUGCAAAAAAUUACAGCACACAUAAAGUACUGCUUGGAUCUUCAACACGUAUGUCCAUGCUGUUCGGCAAUCUGCUUGAUUUCACACAGUAGAAUGUUUUCUAGAUCUUCCCGGCCAUCCCAGAUUCGACACAUCUCUCUUCCCGCCACCCUCCGUUCUCUGCUCUGCACAGACAGCGAGACGCAGCCUCUGCUGAGGCAUGUUUAGGACGUUUGUGUUUCUUUGCUGUUACAGGUCCUGAGGCAGGGAAGCCCCUGUACCUGUCACCUCUGCAGAUGUGGGAAUUUCUCCAGCAGAUGCUGGUACACCCCAUUUGUGCUUCAUCAACACACCAGCGUCACCAGGUGGGAAGCGUGCCUGUGAGUGUUCUCCACUUCCCUCAUGGGGCCACUGCCUGCCCACACUGGCCUUCUCCCAUGCCAGGGGUACCUGGCUCCUACCUGGUGGGUUCUGUGCUGAGAGGCUCAGGCUCAGCACAUCUCUGCCAGGACACAGAGCCUGGUAGCCCUGUCCUGCUGCACAGUUGGGGCCACACCUUUGGACACCUGCCCUCUGCUCUCCAUGUCAGAUCCUGAGCAGGCUCUUCCCAGGCACAAGGGUCCAACUCUGAGCCCACCUCCCACCCACUGGAACUGAAUGCCCAUCAGGCUCGCCCAGCUGCACUGGCCAGACCUGGGGACUCAGGGAGGCUGCC